rnacentral:rRNA from 1 species
GACGAACGCUGGCGGCGUGCCUAAUACAUGCAAGUCGAACGCAGUGGGGACGGGUGAGUAACACGUGGGUAACCUCCCAUAAGAGGGGAUAACACUUGGAAACAGGUGCUAAACCGAUACUGAUGGAUGGACCCGCGGGGGAUUAGCUAGUUGGGGGGGUAAAGGCCUACCAGGGCGACGAUCCGUAACGGGUCUGAGAGGAUUAUCAGUCAACCUGGAACUGAGACACGGUCCAGACUCCUACGGGAGGCAGCAGUGGGGAAUAUUGGACAAUGGGCGAAAGCCUGAUCCAGCCAUGCCGCGUGUUGGAAGAAGGUCUUCGGAUUGUAAAGCACUUUAAUUUGGGAGGCGUUACCCGCAGAAGAAGCACCGGCUAACUCCGUGCCAGCAGCCGCGGUAAUAC